AAAACGAUUCGUUGGCUGAACAACCAUUACUUUUAAAAAUAAAUAAACUAAACACAAAUAACAAAGUAAUUUUAACUUUCCAACCUCUACUUAGCAUAUAUAGUGUCUGUAACAUAAAUAUAUAAGUUACAAGGUGAACCUAAAUGUAUGCAUAAAUAUAAUGAAAAAACAUAAGUCACGUCAACUAGUAUUAAAAUUGCAUCAAAACUAAGUAAUUAUAACAUAAUAUUUUAAGUUUGACUGUGAGCCACGUGAUAUGCAAAUCUGGAAAAAACUGGAGCCAUUUUGUGAUGCACAUGUGAAGACGGUGGAAAGAGGUAAGCUUAACUUUCAAUAAACUAAGCAAAAUAUUCGAUUUUGAGGUUUUGAAAUUAAUAAACACUUGUUUGUAGUGUUAGAUGAAGAUAUUUUCUGAAACGCAAAGAGACGAAGACGCUGAAAAGAGCUCAGAGCAAGAAAGUGUUGCAAAGGGGGCAGCAUCAAGGAAGUGUCCUGUUUGUUUUUUUUGUUCAAAAUUUGUUAAUUUGACACAUUUGUUGUACAUUCAUGAUGUGUGGUUUUAGGCUUCACCAUUGUAUUGCAGCCUGUUUCAAAAAAUAAAGUGAAAUGCUUUA